rnacentral:tRNA from 2 species
GCCUGGCUGGCUCAGUUGGUAGAGCAUCUGACUCUUGAUCUUGGGGUCAUGAGUUUGAGCCUCAUGUUGGGUG